rnacentral:rRNA from 1 species
UACAUGGGGUGCAAACGUUGCUCGGAAUUAUUGGGCGUAAAGCGCACGUAGGCGGUUCGUUAAGUCAGAUGUGAAAGCCCCCGGCUCAACUGGGGAGGGUCACUCGAUACUGAUCGACUUGAAGGCAGGAGAGGGAAGCGGAAUUCCCGGUGUAGUGGUGAAAUGCGUAGAUAUCGGGAGGAACACCAGUGGCGAAGGCGACUACCUGGCCUGUUCUUGACGCUGAGGCGCGAAAGCUAGGGGAGCAAACGGG